CUCGCUUCUCGGCCGUUUGGCUAAGAUCAAGUGUAGUAUCUGUUCUUAUCAGUUGUCAGAGGAGCGCUGAAGCACCUCCUAUUGGGGAGGGUGGAUGCAAUGCUGACUCUGACCCACAGAGGCCAUAAUCGUGCUUCUACGCCUUCUCCUGCUAAAUCUUAUUUGCUCUGCCAAUGGCUUUAGCAACCUCUGA